rnacentral:sRNA from 1 species
ACAGAGAGCCCAACUGAGUCAGAGAGAGCCCAGAUGUGAGCAAGGUAUCUCAUAUUUGCAGCUAAUGACUGAGAUACAACAACGACGCCGGCGACGACGACGAACGAUUCCACCUAAAAAAUCACCAUAAACUACAACAACAAGCUGAAACGCAGUCAGACAUCAGGCAAACGUUAACGACGACGAAACACACUGCGAAAAAAUAUAAAACAAACAAUCGGCCGAACGAACGCCCGCCCGCCCGCGCUUCUGUUAGCCAACCAACCAGUCAGUCUGCCAGCCAGCCCAGCCAACUGGCUUUGCCUUUGAUUGUUAGAUAGAGCUGUUUAUUUCAGCAUUCAGUUACGUGUGUUGCGAGUGUGUUCGUGUGUAUCUGUGUGAGCGCGCUUUGUUUUUCUUUUCGAUUUUUUGUACCUUGUUUUUCGUUUGUUUCGAUUCGAUUCUCUGUUGAGUGCGACCGAUGUGCAGUGCAUUCAUUCGUUUGCUUGCCGCUAUCCCUAUGACAUAGACAUACUCUACUCUGGGUAGCUGAAAAACACAACAAAGCAACGACAACGUCGCCGUACAAGUGUAAGUAGUAGUGAGCGAGCGAGUGCCUCUGUUCUGUUCUAUUCUGGCCCCGUAACGCUAGCAUUGCUGUCGACGUCGCUGCCGGACCGUGGCAGAGUGCCACUGACUCUGUUUGUUUGUUGUACGAAACGUAAGAAUCAUUCUUUAAUACGCGCGCGAACCGUAGACAUCAUAGAGAACAAAGCAGCGGUGAGAAAAGCGACAAAGAAAGAAGGAAAACGCAACGCAAAGAAGGUUCUGUCUAACGUUUUUACAAAAAUCAGAAAGAAAAGCGGAACACAAACGCUAAUGGAAUACAAAAUUUGGAUAAGAAUGAUAAGCCUAUCCGACCCGCUCUUUAAGCUUGGAAUAAAUAAAAGUGUCAAAAGAGAAUAAAUAGAUUUAUUUAAGAUGCAACCAGCAACAUCAACAACGACAACAACAACACCGGCCAUCACAUUCUAUUACUGUGUGCGAGAGAAUCUGUGAAUCCUCCUCCCCAAAACAAAACAAAAAAAAAAAAAAAAAA